CACCCUGGCAAACAGGGCGGACAUUUUGAACGCAAGACUCGGCUAACAGAAUGCAGAGAGAACAAGAUGGCGCUCGUUCCAGAAACAUCUCCUCCCGCCUAGUGGUUGAAUCGAAGAACGACGACGAACCCUGGACGCCAAAAAGUGUUUCAACGCGCGCGGAUAGCGAUUGCGAGACGGAUUACGACGACGGCUACAACACGGUUUGAUAUUUUAUUUUGGCGGUCGGUCGGUCGGUCGGUCGGUCGGUAGCAGUUGAAACGCGUCAUGUUCAGGGAGGUUCUGCCGCAGCUGCUGCACGCCGCUGACAUGUUUUGAACAACACGCCCUCGUUGCUACGGCUCCUCCCCUGUACGCUUUAAACUCUAUCAUCCCUUGUCGCCGCCCUGCCGAAACUUAUUCUUUUUUUUUAUUAUUUUUAAAUUUUUUUUUCGUCUUUUUUUCGCUCGAGAUUCCCUUAAAUGUGCUCUUCUUUUUCGGUUGAUUUGGGAGGAUGUAAACAAAUCCAUUUUUGUCCGCACCCGCCAAGAAAAAACGAAUUUAUUGGAACGUUUAAGUUGGUAUUGAUAAUAAUCAAGCCCAACAUCUCUACUCUGAUGGACUAUUGAUACGAAAUUCAUAAAAACAUGCAACACGUCAUUGGAAACUAUAACGAAUAAAUUAGUGCACACUUUCUAAUCAUUAAAAUACAUGACAGUUGUUCAAAGCGGUU